rnacentral:rRNA from 1 species
UAGAGCACUGUUUGGACGAGGGGCCCCUCUCGGGUUACCGAAUUCAGACAAACUCCGAAUGCCAAUUAAUUUAACUUGGGAGUCAGAACAUGGGUGAUAAGGUCCGUGUUCGAAAGGGAAACAGCCCAGACCACCAGCUAAGGUCCCAAAAUAUAUGUUAAGUGGAAAAGGAUGUGGCGUUGCCCAGACAACUAGGAUGUUGGCUUAGAAGCAGCCAUCAUUUAAAGAGUGCGUAAUAGCUCACUAGUCGAGUGACACUGCGCCGAAAAUGUACCGGGGCUAAACAUAUUACCGAAGCUGUGGAUUGUCCUUUGGACAAUGGUAGGAGAGCGUUCUAAGGGCGUUGAAGCAUGAUCGUAAGGACAUGUGGAGCGCUUAGAAGUGAGAAUGCCGGUGUGAGUAGCGAAAGACGGGUGAGAAUCCCGUCCACCGAUUGACUAAGGUUUCCAGAGGAAGGCUCGUCCGCUCUGGGUUAGUCGGGUCCUAAGCUGAGGCCGACAGGCGUAGGCGAUGGAUAACAGGUUGAUAUUCCUGUACCACCUAUAAUCGUUUUAAUCGAUGGGGGGACGCAGUAGGAUAGGCGAAGCGUGCGAUUGGAUUGCACGUCUAAGCAGUAAGGCUGAGUAUUAGGCAAAUCCGGUACUCGUUAAGGCUGAGCUGUGAUGGGGAGAAGACAUUGAGUCUUCGAGUCGUUGAUUUCACACUGCCGAGAAAAGCCUCUAGAUAGAAAAUAGGUGCCCGUACCGCAAACCGACACAGGUAGUCAAGAUGAGAAUUCUAAGGUGAGCGAGCGAACUCUCGUUAAGGAACUCGGCAAAAUGACCCCGUAACUUCGGGAGAAGGGGUGCUCUUUAGGGUUAACGCCCAGAAGAGCCGCAGUGAAUAGGCCCAAGCGACUGUUUAUCAAAAACACAGGUCUCUGCUAAACCGUAAGGUGAUGUAUAGGGGCUGACGCCUGCCCGGUGCUGGAAGGUUAAGAGGAGUGGUUAGCUUCUGCGAAGCUACGAAUCGAAGCCCCAGUAAACGGCGGCCGUAACUAUAACGGUCCUAAGGUAGCGAAAUUCCUUGUCGGGUAAGUUCCGACCCGCACGAAAGGCGUAACGAUUUGGGCACUGUCUCAACGAGAGACUCGGUGAAAUCAUAGUACCUGUGAAGAUGCAGGUUACCCGCGACAGGACGGAAAGACCCCGUGGAGCUUUACUGUAGCCUGAUAUUGAAAUUCGGCACAGCUUGUACAGGAUAGGUAGGAGCCUUUGAAACGUGAGCGCUAGCUUACGUGGAGGCGCUGGUGGGAUACUACCCUAGCUGUGUUGGCUUUCUAACCCGCACCACUUAUCGUGGUGGGAGACAGUGUCAGGCGGGCAGUUUGACUGGGGCGGUCGCCUCCUAAAAGGUAACGGAGGCGCUCAAAGGUUCCCUCAGAAUGGUUGGAAAUCAUUCAUAGAGUGUAAAGGCAUAAGGGAGCUUGACUGCGAGACCUACAAGUCGAGCAGGGUCGAAAGACGGACUUAGUGAUCCGGUGGUUCCGCAUGGAAGGGCCAUCGCUCAACGGAUAAAAGCUACCCCGGGGAUAACAGGCUUAUCUCCCCCAAGAGUUCACAUCGACGGGGAGGUUUGGCACCUCGAUGUCGGCUCAUCGCAUCCUGGGGCUGUAGUCGGUCCCAAGGGUUGGGCUGUUCGCCCAUUAAAGCGGUACGCGAGCUGGGUUCAGAACGUCGUGAGACAGUUCGGUCCCUAUCCGUCGUGGGCGUAGGAAAUUUGAGAGGAGCUGUCCUUAGUACGAGAGGACCGGGAUGGACAUACCUCUGGUGUACCAGUUGUCGUGCCAACGGCAUAGCUGGGUAGCUAUGUGUGGACGGGAUAAGUGCUGAAAGCAUCUAAGCAUGAAGCCCCCCUCAAGAUGAGAUUUCCCAACUUCGGUUAUAAGAUCCCUCAAAGAUGAUGAGGUUAAUAGGUUCGAGGUGGAAGCAUGGUGACAUGUGGAGCUGACGAAUACUAAUCGAUCGAAGACUUAAUCAA